rnacentral:rRNA from 1 species
UACGUAGGCAGCGAGCGUUUGUUCGGAAUUACUGGGCGUAAAGAGUGUGUAGGCGGUGCUCUAAGUUCGGUGUGAAAUCUCCCGGCUUAACUGGGAGGGUGCGCCGGAAACUGGAGUGCUCGAGCGUGGGAGAGGAAAGCGGGAAUCCUGGUGUAGCGGUGAAAUGCGUAGAUAUCAGGAGGAACACCCUGCGGUGUAGACGGCUUUCUGGACCAUUGCUGACGCUGAGACACGAAAGCGUGGGUAGCAAACAGG